GCCCGGGUGGCGAAACAGGUAGACGCAAGGGACUUAAAAUCCCUCGGCCGCAAGGCCGUGCCGGUUCGACCCCGGCCCCGGGCACCA
rnacentral:tRNA from 1 species